rnacentral:pre_miRNA from 14 species
CUUUGAGACUACCCUGAAAGACCCCCGGAGUGGGGAGACCCUCACUCAAGUCUCGGGAUGACGCGACCCCCCAAGAACUCACACAAGACC